rnacentral:lncRNA from 1 species
UUCCUCCUCCGACCGGUCGUCCGGAUCCAGCAAACCGGUGAAGCCGGCUGCCACGCACGCGAUGUCCGCGACGGCGUCCAUGGACCUGCUCUAGCCACUUGCCGCGACAUGCCACCAGCAGAUGGACUGUAUGGCGCUGCAAACUAGUUCAGCUCCUCAUCGUCGUUGUCCUCCUCGGACCAGGAGCUCAUGCGAGCGCUCGAACCUUUUAUCAGGAGUGC